GGGUGCAAGCGUUAGUCGGAAUUACUGGGCGUAAAGCGUGCGCAGGCGGUUAUGUAAGACAGUUGUGAAAUCCCCGGGCUCAACCUGGGAACUGCAUCUGUGACUGCAUAGCUAGAGUACGGUAGAGGGGGAUGGAAUUCCGCGUGUAGCAGUGAAAUGCGUAGAUAUGCGGAGGAACACCGAUGGCGAAGGCAAUCCCCUGGACCUGUACUGACGCUCAUGCACGAAAGCGUGGGGAGCAAACAGGAUUAGAUACCCUGGUAGUCCACGCCCUAAACGAUGUCAACUGGUUGUUGGGUCUUCACUGACUCAGUAACGAAGCUAACGCGUGAAGUUGACCGCCUGGGGAGUACGGC
rnacentral:rRNA from 1 species